AGGCGCCUGUGCAAUCUCUAUGGUAACCACAUUUCCCAGUUGACUACUACCGGUAAUAAAAUCAAAUGGAUUCAGUGCUCACAACUCUUCAGUCUUUGGGCUACUUUCCAUUCUUGAAUUUUUAGCUGAAUUCAUCUCUUUGGCUGGAUUUUGUGAAUCGGGCAGCCAUUAGAACCAAAACAGUUCUGAGGAGCUCCCAGGCUGCAAUGUGGUGCGAAAUGUUUUAUGGACAGAAAAUGGAAAUGAGGUGCAGAAAUUGGAGAUGAAAUUUCAGUCUUUAUUCAAGAUCAAGUGCAACUGUCUCUUUGAGGAAAGUCCUUUGACCGCCAUUUCUCCCCUUCAGAAGGCAAACACCUGGGGGAGAAGAUCUGCUUAAGGACCUGGUAACUGACAAAGAAUGGAAUGGGAGCGAGAACCGCCUAGCCAUCCCUUCUCCUUGCACAGUCAUGAAACAAAAGUUGAAAAGGAGCCUGGUUUUACUUGACCAGUCAUAAAUUACCAUAAAAUAAAAUGAGAUAUUAGGAACCUUUGAUCUCUGAAAAA
rnacentral:lncRNA from 1 species